rnacentral:rRNA from 1 species
UACGUAGGGUGCGAGCGUUGUCCGGAUUUAUUGGGCGUAAAGAGCGUGUAGGCGGCCGUGUAGGUCUGACGUGAAAUCUGGAGGCUCAACCUCCAGCUGUCGUUGGAAACCGCUCGGCUAGAGUCCGGAAGAGGAGAGUGGAAUUCCUGGUGUAGCGGUGAAAUGCGCAGAUAUCAGGAAGAACACCUAUGGCGAAGGCAGCUCUCUGGGACGGUACUGACGCUGAGACGCGAAAGCGUGGGGAGCGAACAGG